AUUGGACCCGAGACACUCACUAACUCAAAUGCUCAGCUCUCAUUACUUAUUAUGCAAGUGAAAUGUUUGACUGCUGAACUUGGUCAAUGGAACAAAAGAAAACCCGAAAUUCCAAAAGUUGAGAUAUGAUCUUGAAAUGGUACGGUCUAUCGUUCAAUCAGAGAAUGAAAAGUUAAAAGAAGACUUAGCAAGGGAGCAACAGUGGUUGGAUGAACAGCAGCAAAUACUGGAAACUCUUAAUGUAUUACACAGUGACUUGAAAAAUCGGGUUGUAACAUUUACUGAAUCAAGAAUUUUUAAUGAACUGAAAGCCAAGAUCCUUAGUAUAAAAGAAUUUAAAGAGAAGCUCCUACUUGCCUUGGGUGAUUUUUUAGAAGAUCAUUUUCCACUGCCUGAUGGAAAUACUCAAAAGAAAAGGCAUUUAUACUGUAUUAGUGAGCAGCUAUAACAGAAUACCAGAGAUGCUGGCGUAAAAGUGGAAUUUUUCUGUCUCAAGACUAGAAGUGCAAGAUUAAAGCCCUCUCCGGGUUAGAAAAAUAUUCAAGAAUUGAAUACACAGCUGAUAACACUG
rnacentral:lncRNA from 1 species